UACGAAGGGGGCUAGCGUUGCUCGGAAUCACUGGGCGUAAAGCGCACGUAGGCGGCUUUUAAGUCAGGGGUGAAAUCCUGGAGCUCAACUCCAGAACUGCCUUUGAUACUGAGAAGCUUGAGUCCGGGAGAGGUGAGUGGAACUGCGAGUGUAGAGGUGAAAUUCGUAGAUAUUCGCAAGAACACCAGUGGCGAAGGCGGCUCACUGGCCCGGUACUGACGCUGAGGUGCGGAAAGCGUGGGGAGCAACAGG
rnacentral:rRNA from 1 species